rnacentral:rRNA from 1 species
UAAGCCUGCGAAGGUGUACUGUGAGGUAUGCUGGAGGUAUCAGAAGUGCGAAUGCUGACAUAAGUAACGAUAAUGCGGGUGAAAAACCCGCACGCCGGAAGACCAAGGGUUCCUGUCCAACGUUAAUCGGGGCAGGGUGAGUCGACCCCUAAGGCGAGGCUGAAAAGCGUAGUCGAUGGGAAACGGGUUAAUAUUCCCGUACUGGUGGUAACUGCGAUGGGGGAACGGAGAAGGCUAGGUUGUCCGGGCGACGGUCGUCCCGGUUCAAGCAGGUAGGCAGAGUGAUUAGGCAAAUCCGGUCACUUAAUGCUGAGAUGUGAUGACGAACCACCAAGGUGGUGAAGCAAUUGAUGCCCCGCUUCCAGGAAAAGCCUCUAAGCUUCAGGUUACCAACAAUCGUACCCCAAACCGACACAGGUGGUCAGGUAGAGAAUACUCAGGCGCUUGAGAGAACUCGGGUGAAGGAACUAGGCAAAAUGGUGCCGUAACUUCGGGAGAAGGCACGCUGGCGGUAGGUAAAGUCCCUCGCGGACGGCGCUGAAGCCAGUCGAAGAUACCAGCUGGCUGCAACUGUUUAUUAAAAACACAGCACUGUGCAAACACGAAAGUGGACGUAUACGGUGUGACGCCUGCCCGGUGCUGGAAGGUUAAUUGAUGGGGUCAGCCGCAAGGCGAAGCUCCUGAUCGAAGCCCCAGUAAACGGCGGCCGUAACUAUAACGGUCCUAAGGUAGCGAAAUUCCUUGUCGGGUAAGUUCCGACCUGCACGAAUGGCGUAAUGAUGGCCAGGCUGUCUCCACCCGAGACUCAGUGAAAUUGAACUCGCUGUGAAGAUGCAGUGUACCCGCGGCAAGACGGAAAGACCCCGUGAACCUUUACUAUAGCUUGACACUGAACAUUGAGCCUUGAUGUGUAGGAUAGGUGGGAGGCUUUGAAGUGUGGACGCCAGUCUGCAUGGAGCCAACCUUGAAAUACCACCCUUUAACGUUUGAUGUUCUAACCUAGGCCCAUAAACUGGGUCGGGGACCGUGUCUGGUGGGUAGUUUGACUGGGGCGGUCUCCUCCUAAAGAGUAACGGAGGAGCACGAAGGUUGGCUAAGCAUGGUCGGACAUCAUGCGGUUAGUGCAAAGGCAUAAGCCAGCUUGACUGCGAGAGUGACGGCUCGAGCAGGUACGAAAGUAGGUCUUAGUGAUCCGGUGGUUCUGAAUGGAAGGGCCAUCGCUCAACGGAUAAAAGGUACUCCGGGGAUAACAGGCUGAUACCGCCCAAGAGUUCAUAUCGACGGCGGUGUUUGGCACCUCGAUGUCGGCUCAUCACAUCCUGGGGCUGAAGUAGGUCCCAAGGGUAUGGCUGUUCGCCAUUUAAAGUGGUACGCGAGCUGGGUUUAGAACGUCGUGAGACAGUUCGGUCCCUAUCUGCCGUGGGCGUUGGAAGAUUGAGAGGGGUUGCUCCUAGUACGAGAGGACCGGAGUGAACGCACCACUGGUGUUCGGGUUGUCAUGCCAAUGGCAUUGCCCGGUAGCUAAGUGCGGAAGAGAUAACCGCUGAAAGCAUCUAAGCGGGAAACUUGCCUCGAGAUGAGUCUUCCCUGUCGCUUUAAGCGACCUAAAGGAACGUUUAAGACUAAGACGUUGAU